rnacentral:rRNA from 1 species
UACGUAGGGUGCAAGCGUUGUCCGGAAUUAUUGGGCGUAAAGAGCUCGUAGGCGGUCUGUCGCGUCGGAUGUGAAAACUCGGGGCUCAACCCCGGGCCUGCAGUGGAUACGGGCAGACUAGAGGUAGGUAGGGGAGAAUGGAAUUCCCGGUGUAGCGGUGAAAUGCGUAGAUAUCAAGAGGAACACCUGAGGUGAAGACGGGUUGCUGGGCCGACACUGACGCUGAGGCGCGAAAGCCAGGGGAGCAAACGGG